rnacentral:lncRNA from 1 species
GGAAUACAUUUAAGUUCUAGGUCGCCCACCAGUAUAAUGCGGGAAUACAUUUUCAGUUCUAGGUCGCCUACCAGUACAAUGCGGGAAUACUUUUAGCUCUAGAGUUUAGAAUCAGUAGCCCCACCUGAAGACGGAAGGUUACAACAGAGAGCCCCAAGCAGGAAAAACAAUAAAAUCCCCAGCACCAAGAAGCAAGCAACUGCAAAGGCAAGCGCGCAAUUCAAAAGGAAAAAUGAACGCGUCUCAAAAGAAGUAGUUUGGGAACGUUGUAGCAUGCCCAGUAUAACAAUUCUGAUGGAAAGCCAUACCACUGAAGAAACCAUUGGAAGAUUUAAAGAAGAAAGCCGUGUCCCCAGCAAAUCAAGCAAAGUGAUGAGAACUGACAUUCAGAAAAGGUGAAGGACCAGCAUCAUCUCCAAGUUCACAAAAUAGAGGCAUCGGAGGAAGGCGAUAGCCGACAAGAAAGCAAGGCAACAAGAACAAGUCGAAGAUGGAUGAGAUUUCAGGAUCCUCAGUUUAGCUUAGCUUCUUGUUUUCCUUUUAGAGCAAUGUAACAGGGAGAU